UAGUGACCGAUAGUGAACCAGUACCGUGAGGGAAAGGUGAAAAGCACCCCGGAAGGGGAGUGAAAUAGAACCUGAAACCGUGUGCUUACAAGUAGUCAGAGCCCGUUAAUGGGUGAUGGCGUGCCUUUUGUAGAAUGAACCGGCGAGUUACGAUUUGAUGCAAGGUUAAGCAGUAAAUGUGGAGCCGUAGCGAAAGCGAGUCUGAAUAGGGCGUUUAGUAUUUGGUCGUAGACCCGAAACCAGGUGAUCUACCCUUGGUCAGGUUGAAGUUCAGGUAACACUGAAUGGAGGACCGAACCGACUUACGUUGAAAAGUGAGCGGAUGAACUGAGGGUAGCGGAGAAAUUCCAAUCGAACCUGGAGAUAGCUGGUUCUCUCCGAAAUAGCUUUAGGGCUAGCCUCAAGUGAUGAUUAUUGGAGGUAGAGCACUGUUUGGACGAGGGGCCCCUCUCGGGUUACCGAAUUCAGACAAACUCCGAAUGCCAAUUAAUUUAACUUGGGAGUCAGAACAUGGGUGAUAAGGUCCGUGUUCGAAAGGGAAACAGCCCAGACCACCAGCUAAGGUCCCAAAAUAUAUGUUAAGUGGAAAAGGAUGUGGCGUUGCCCAGACAACUAGGAUGUUGGCUUAGAAGCAGCCAUCAUUUAAAGAGUGCGUAAUAGCUCACUAGUCGAGUGACACUGCGCCGAAAAUGUACCGGGGCUAAACAUAUUACCGAAGCUGUGGAUUGUCCUUUGGACAAUGGUAGGAGAGCGUUCUAAGGGCGUUGAAGCAUGAUCGUAAGGACAUGUGGAGCGCUUAGAAGUGAGAAUGCCGGUGUGAGUAGCGAAAGACGGGUGAGAAUCCCGUCCACCGAUUGACUAAGGUUUCCAGAGGAAGGCUCGUCCGCUCUGGGUUAGUCGGGUCCUAAGCUGAGGCCGACAGGCGUAGGCGAUGGAUAACAGGUUGAUAUUCCUGUACCACCUAUAAUCGUUUUAAUCGAUGGGGGGACGCAGUAGGAUAGGCGAAGCGUGCGAUUGGAUUGCACGUCUAAGCAGUAAGGCUGAGUAUUAGGCAAAUCCGGUACUCGUUAAGGCUGA
rnacentral:rRNA from 1 species